GGGCCCGCACAAGCGGAGGAACAUGUGGUUUAAUUCGAUGAUACGCGAGGAACCUUACCCGGGCUCGAACGGCUAAUGCAUGGAUAUGAAAGUAUCCAGUCUUCGGACAUUAGUCGAGGUGCUGCAUGGUUUGUCGUCAGCUCGUGCCGUGAGGUGUCGGCUUAAGUGCCAUAACGAGCGCAACCCUUACCGUCGGUUGCCAUCAGGUCAUGCUGGGGACUCCGGCGGGACUGCCACCGUAAGGUGUGAGGAAGGUGGGGAUGACGUCAAAUCAGCACGGCCCUUACGUCCGGGGCUACACACGUGUUACAAUGGCCGGUACAGAGGGCAGCUACACAGCGAUGUGAUGCGAAUCUCAUAAAGCCGGUCUCAGUUCGGAUCGAAGUCUGCAACCCGACUUCGUGAAGCCGGAUUCGCUAGUAAUCGCGCAUCAGCCAUGGCG
rnacentral:rRNA from 1 species